rnacentral:rRNA from 1 species
ACUCCUACGGGAGGCAGCAGUAGGGAAUAUUGCGCAAUGGGGGCAACCCUGACGCAGCGACGCCGCGUGAGUGAUGAAGGUCUUCGGAUCGUAAAACUCUGUCCUCAGGGAAGAAAACAAUGACGGUACCUGAGGAGGAAGCCCCGGCUAACUACGUGCCAGCAGCCGCGGUAAU